rnacentral:rRNA from 1 species
AGUGAACGCUGGCGGCAGGCCUAACACAUGCAAGUCGAACGGCAGCACAGUGGAGCUUGCUCCAUGGGUGGCGAGUGGCGGACGGGUGGGGAAUACAUCGGAAUCUGCCCAGUCGUGGGGGAUAACAUAGGGAAACUUAUGCUAAUACCGCAUACGACCUACGGGUGAAAGCGGGGGAUCGCAAGACCUCGCGCGAUUGGAUGAGCCGAUGUCCGAUUAGCUAGUUGGCGGGGUAAUGGCCCACCAAGGCGACGAUCGGUAGCUGGUCUGAGAGGAUGAUCAGCCACACUGGAACUGAGACACGGUCCAGACUCCUACGGGAGGCAGCAGUGGGGAAUAUUGGACAAUGGGCGCAAGCCUGAUCCAGCCAUGCCGCGUGGGUGAAGAAGGCCUUCGGGUUGUAAAGCCCUUUUGUCCGGAAAGAAAAGCCUCGGAUUAAUACCCUGGGGUGAUGACGGUACCGGAAGAAUAAGCACCGGCUAACUUCGUGCCAGCCGCCGCGGUAACAC